rnacentral:rRNA from 1 species
GUAGCGAAAUUCCUUGUCGGGUAAGUUCCGACCUGCACGAAUGGCGUAACGACUUCCCCGCUGUCUCCAGCAUAGACUCAGUGAAAUUGAAUUCCCCGUGAAGAUGCGGGGUUCCUGCGGUCAGACGGAAAGACCCCGUGCACCUUUACUACAGCUUCACACUGGUAUUCGUCACGACAUGUGUAGGAUAGGUGGUAGACGUUGAAGCCUUGGCGCCAGCUGAGGUGGAGUCACCCUUGAAAUACCACCCUUGUCGUCAUGGAUAUCUAACCGCGGUACAACAAUAUCCGGGACCGUGCGUGGCGGGUAGUUUGACUGGGGCGGUCGCCUCCCAAAUAGUAACGGAGGCGCGCGAAGGUUGGCUCAGAGCGGUCGGAAAUCGCUCGUUGAGUGCA